UUGGAGAGAGAGAAACAGCCUUGUAGGGGGAGAGGAGAUUAUAGAGAGAGAAGGGGAGCAUUGUGGGUUCCCCAGAUGGGCAGGAAUAGGAGGACUUCGUGAAUGGGGGGCCUGCUUUCCUGCUCAAAUUGUUAACGCCAUUGAUGCUUGUCCGAGGAGGAAUUUUCACUCUUGUCAUUAUUGUUUUCGCCUGUUCAAAUCAAAUGGUUGGGUAACAUUCAAAAAAAAGAAAUCAAAUGGUUGGGUAACAACGGUCGAAUUAUGAUGCCUCUUGAAUUUCCAGCUCAAAUGGCCACGCCCAAGAGGCUCUACCAAGUCUGGAAAGGAAGCAAUAGAUUUUUCUGUGGUGGUAGACUAAUAUUUGGUCCAGAUGUGGGAUCGGUGUUUCUUUCCACUUUCCUCAUAGCAGGUCCGGCAGGACUUUUUUGCUCACUUGUGGCUACAAAGAUCAUUGAGCACUCUAAAUUUCUUGGGAUUCCAGUUUUGGCGGUGGCUGUGAUCCUCACAAUAUUGGAUUUGAUUCUUCUUCUCCUGACCUCUGGUAGAGAUCCUGGUAUAGUUCCACGAAAUUCAAGGCCACCUGAUCCUGAUGAAGCUUUUGAUGCCACUACCCCAUCAAUGGAAUGGGUGAACGGAAGAACCCCACAUUUAAGACUACCCCGAACAAAGGAUGUUAUUGUAAAUGAUAUCAUAGUGAAGGUCAAGUACUGCGAUACAUGCCUGCUUUAUCGCCCUCCCAGGUCUUCGCAUUGCUCAAUAUGCAACAAUUGUGUUCAAAAGUUCGAUCACCAUUGCCCGUGGGUUGGCCAGUGUAUUGGACUACGUAACUACCGGUUCUUCUUCUUUUUCAUAUUCACGUCCACUUUGCUGUGUAUCUACGUCUUCACCUUUUCAUGGAUCAACAUUCUUCAAAGGCAUCAUAGUGGAAGGGUGUUGAAAAUCAUAAAGGAGGAGAUCCCAUCAGUUAUUCUCAUAGCGUAUGGUUUCAUAACUGUCUGGUUUGUUGGUGGGCUCACUGUCUUUCAUCUCUACCUCAUCAGCACAAACCAGACUACCUAUGAAAAUUUCCGAUACCGAUAUGAUAAAAAAGAGAACCCAUAUAAUCUCGGUGUCUUAAAGAACUUCAAGCAACUGUUUCUUUCGAGAAUCCCUCCUUCUAUGAAUGAUUUCAGAUCAUGGGCAGUGGAAGGUUCUUCAGAACUGGGGCCAACAAUGACUAAUUUUGGGGGAGAUAUGAUGAGCCCAAAAGCAAAGAUCGAUAUUGAAAUGGCCGGUAUGCCAAUCCCUGAGAUAUUGCAUAGUUUGGACUACACAGGUAUUGAUGAUGUUUUCAAGGAAAAGGAUGAACUUGGAGAUAAUAAGCAUGGACCUUUUGCUUUCCCAGAAGUUGAAGAAACAAGAGAAUCUGAUGAAAACCAAAGAAAAUCAGAGGCUGCUCUUAUGGAUGGAGGAAGCAGCUCCAAUGCCAUGGGAUCCCAAGUUGACCAUAGCAUCCACACUCAUCAGCCAUAAAGGAUGGUUUUGAUUGAUGCGAUGCAUGCAUCAUUAUAAAUUGGAAGCAAGCAUGUGGAGACAAUAUGUAUAUAGAAAAUAGGUCAUGUUCCACAACUUUUUCUAAUGAGAGGUCUAUCGCGGUACAAAGAUAGUGAUUCUUUCCCAAUUGAUCGGAGGGCACCUUUUUAUGUGUGAUGAAUCCUAGCCAAGUGUAUAUUCGGGCCUACGCGAGGUUAGGAUUGCUAUUUAAAAUUGAAACCCCAAAACAUAAACAGAAAAAGAAUAGCUUUUUCAUUUUGUGUGCUAAGAAACUUGUUAAUCUUAUAGAGAGAAUUUUAUUGUUUUGAAGUUGCUUUCCCCAAUUGAUUUGGAGUGGUGGAAACUCAAGAAUAUUGUUCUCUUCUUUUGUGCCUGAUAACUUGAAAGUCCUGGAAUUUGAUAAUGUUUAUUUGGAAGAUGCAAAUUGU